UACGUAGGGGGCUAGCGUUGUCCGGAAUCAUUGGGCGUAAAGAGCGCGUAGGCGGCCAGAUAAGUCCGGUGUGAAAGUCAAAGGCUCAACCUUUGAAUGCCGCUGGAAACUGUCUGGCUAGAGUCCGGAAGGGGCGAGUGGAAUUCCUGGUGUAGCGGUGAAAUGCGCAGAUAUCAGGAGGAACACCAAUGGCGAAGGCAGCUCGCUGGAACGGUACUGACGCUGAGGCGCGAAAGCGUGGGGAGCAAGCAGG
rnacentral:rRNA from 1 species